GUGAAGCUGCUGUCUGAUCUUGUGGAGAGUCCACACUGUAGACUGGAGACUCUGAGCUGGAAGGGGGUGUGAUCUCUGUCAGAGUGAGUUAUCAGAAAAGUGGAUGUGUUGAGAGGAUCAGCCGUGUCCUGAUGAUCCACAGAGGUUCACCACCUGGACCUGCAUCUGAUUUUGUCUUUGUUUAUUCAUUCAUAUAUUCUGAACCCAAAGUGCCUCUGCAGAAUAGUUCAGUUCAUGACAACAUAACUGUAGAUGAACACAUUUAAAUAGAUCUUUCUGCUCUGCUUUGUGUCGCAGCUCCACCCUGUGGAACGAUGGAGUUUUGCUGUUUACUUCCACAUAUUUCUAAAUAAGUUAAUAAAGUUACCCUAUUAAAACCGAGCCCUCAGGAAGAGCGUCUGCAUAUGACAUGAUAACUGA